UUUCCGUAGGUGAACCUGCGGAAGGAUCAUUAUUGUAUAACCGAGGUGCGAGGGCUGUCGCUGACCCGAAAGGUCGUGCACGCCCGAGUGCCCUCACACAUCCAUCUCACCCCUAUGUGCACCACCGCGUGGGUCCCCCUUUGGCUUGUUCGGAGGGGGGCUUACGUUUUCACACAAACUUUGUAUGUAGUGUAGAAUGUAUUUUUUGUUUUUGCGAUCACGCAAUCAAUACAACUUUCAACAACGGAUCUCUUGGCUCUC
rnacentral:misc_RNA from 1 species